UUUCUUAUGGCAGUAGAUACUCUAAAAUUGGAAUGAUACAGCAAAGAUUAGCAUGGCCCCUGCACAAGGAUGACAUGCAAAUUUGUGAAGCAUUCUACGGCAGU